ensembl:snRNA U6 U6 spliceosomal RNA
GUGCUCACUUUGGCAGCACAUAUACUAACACUGGAAUGAUACAGAGAAGAUUAACAUGGCCCCUGCACAAGGAUGACACAAAAAUCUGUGAAGCAUUCAUUUUU